rnacentral:rRNA from 1 species
ACACAUGCAAGACAAACGAACCUUCGGGUUAGUGGCGGACGGGUGAGUAACGCUUGAGCAUCUGCCCUCAGGAGGGGGAUAACGGUUGGAAACGACCGCUAAUACCCCAUAUGCCGAGAGGUGAAAAGAAAUUCGCCUGAGGAUGAGCUCGCGUCUGAUUAGCUAGUUGGUGUGGUAAUGGCGCACCAAGGCUUCGAUCAGUAGCUGGUCUGAGAGGAUGAUCAGCCACACUGGGACUGAGACACGGCCCAGACUCCUACGGGAGGCAGCAGUGGG